GCUGGAAUGGUCUAGUUGCUUAUGACGACUGCCUCACACCCAGUAGGUCCCGAGUUCGACUCUCGGUUCCAGUA
rnacentral:tRNA from 1 species